UAGUUUUAUUCUUGUUAGAAUUAUUUAUUAUGAAUUUAAUUUACAUGUAAAUUUUUGUUUUCUUGAUGAUUAUUUGGCAGUAAUUAGUUUUAUUAAUUAAGGUAACUUAGAAUUGGUAAUAUUUUUUAUUAUUGGUUAAAUAUGUGCCAGCAUUCGCGGUUAUACAUUUAAUUAAAUUAAAUAUUUAUGGUUUUGUAAUUGUUAUUUUUUUUAUUAGUUUUUAUUUUGUUUUUAGGUGAAAUUUUAAUUUUUAAUUUUCUUUUUAUUUUGGAGGUUAUGAAAACUUUUGUUGAAACUAGGAUUAGAUACCCUAUUAUUUAAGUAGUUAAAAUAUUUUCCUGAGUAGUAUUAGUUAUUUUCUUGAAACUCAAAGAAUUUGGCGGUAUUAUAUUCUUUUCAGAGGAAUCUGUCUCGUUAUUGAUAAUCCGCGUUGUACCUUUCUUGAUUUAUUUCUUGUAUAUCUCCGUUAUAAUGAGUAUCUUUUUAGGGUUAAUUUUCUUGAUUUUUAAUUUAGAAUUAUUUCAGGUCAAGGUGCAGUAUAAUUAAGUGUUGAUGGAUUACUUGUUUAUGGAUUAAUAGUUUAAAUUUUUUUAUGAAAAUGGAUUUGAUAGUAAUUAUUUGAAGAUUGUAAUGGUGAUAUAGUUCUAUAAUAUGUACAUAUCGCCCGUCACUCUCAUUAUUAAUAUGAGAUAAGUCGUAACAUAGUGGUUGUACCGGAAGGUGUGGCUGGGUUGAU
rnacentral:ncRNA from 1 species